AAGUCGUAACAAGGUCUCCGUAGGUGAACCUGCGGAGGGAUCAUUAACACGUGUAAAAACGUAUUACUAUACCUAACUAACCAACACCGUGAACUAUGUUUUGAUUAACAUUUUUUAUCUUUUUAUUUGUUACUAUUUUACGAUAGUAAUGAGUGAAUUCUUAACCUUUUCCAAUUUCUUCUUUUUUUUUGUUAUUGUAUUGUAUAGUGUUCAUGGUAUUUUACUAUGAUACUGUAUGAUCAUACAUAUAAUGUAAAAAAAUCAAAAGCACAACUCUUAGCAACGGAUAUCUUGGUUCUC
rnacentral:misc_RNA from 1 species